rnacentral:rRNA from 1 species
GGACGGGGACAACAGUUGGAAACGACUGCUAAUACCCGAUGUGCCGAGAGGUGAAAGAUUUAUCGCCUAAGGAUGGACUCGCGUCAGAUUAGCUAGUUGGUGUGGUAACGGCAUACCAAGGCAACGAUCUGUAGCUGGUGAGGAGGGAUGAUCAGCCACACUGGGACUGAGACACGGCCCAGACUCCUACGGGAGGCAGCAGUGGGGAAUUUUCCGCAAUGGGCGAAGGCCUGACGGAGCAACGCCGCGUGAGGGAGGAAGGUUUUUGGACUGUAAACCUCUUUUCUUAGGGAAGAUAAUGACGGUACCUAAGGAAUCAGCAUCGGCUAACUUCGUGCCAGCAGCCGCGGUAAUACGAGGGAUGCAAGCGUUAUCCGGAAUUAUUGGGCGUAAAGCGUCCGUAGGCGGUUUCGUAAGUCUGUUGUUAAAUAGUGCAGCUUAACUGCAUAGGGGCAAUGGAAACUGUGAGACUAGAGUGAGAUAGGGGUAAGGGGAAUUCCAGGUGUAGCGGUGAAAUGCGUAGAUAUCUGGAAGAACACCAGCGACGAAAGU